GUGGGUCGUCGACGACGUCAACAACCAGAAGAAAGAA
rnacentral:sRNA from 1 species